AUGGCUCCAGGGGAAGGAGGCACUGAGGCUGUGCCGGGAGCUGGAUCCCAUCUCCCCCAAAGCAGCCAUGACGUGCCGAGCCCAGGGCUGGUGGUGUUUGGGUGGGGGUCUGGAGCUGACACUACAGCCCCCAGCAUGCCGCACCACCGGCACAGCCUAUGCAGAACAGCGCAGCAUGCCGGGACCCAUAGUUCCUUUCCUCCCAGAAAAUGCUGCUUUGGACCUUGGUUGGGCUGGAGGCAGCCCCGUCUUCUGGAUCCACAAUGUCUCCCCAACCACAGGCUCAGCAGGGACAUCCCAGUGGCACAUUGCGAGCAUCAGCCGCGUCCCCAUGGCUGCCCAGAGAGACGCCAACGGCACGGCCCCGUGGCGGUGGGUGCGGACGUGGCCCUGCAGCGCUGCACCCCAAACGGGCCCCCGGCAGCCAAAAGCUGCAGCUCUCCUCCCGCUCUGUGCCACGGCACACAGCCAUGCGGCGUCACCUCGCCAUGGCGCAUGGCAUCACCCUGCCACGGCGCACAGCCACACGGCCCUGGCACGGGGAGCCACGAACGGGUCUCCAGUGCUGCGCCGGGGAAAGGGUGCUUGGGGGCACCCAAGUGGCGUCCUCGUAUCCCUCACAGCCACGGGGACACGUGUGCCUGGCUGGGGACCGCAGAGACAGCGGGGCACCACGGCCAUUCAGCACCGCCGCCAGGGGCACGCUCCGCGCCCAGCCCCGACACACAGCGUCCAAACAGAGCACAGACCCCUCAUCCCCCUGAAGCCCCCAGACUGGGAGUGGACACUUCCCAUACACCCCAAGGGACUCACCGGAGCGGGAUGGGGACGGCAGCAGGCGGGCUGCUCGCCCCUCGCCCGGGCGGCGGGAGCCAGGCGAGGAGCGAACUUCCCCGGGCUGAUGCAAGAUGCCUCUGCGAGCGCGCUCACAUUCUGCGGAUUCCUGGGAGCCGGCCAGAAAUCCCACAAUCCUACAUCUCGCACAUUUGGUUUCAAUUAGGGAGCGGAGAGGGGGAGCUGCUCACCAAUCCGGGCUGGCUUUUCGGCGGAGGUUAUUUUCCUCGACCCGAGGGAAUGUGCGCAAAGCUAUAA
rnacentral:lncRNA from 1 species